AAAAGCUCCGGCAGUAUAGGAUGGUCCCGCGUCUGAUUAGCUGGUUGGCGGGGUAACGGCCCACCAAGGCGACGAUCAGUAGCCGGCUUGAGAGAGUGGACGGCCACAUUGGGACUGAGACACGGCCCAAACUCCUACGGGAGGCAGCAGUGGGGAAUAUUGCACAAUGGGGGAAACCCUGAUGCAGCGACGCCGCGUGAGUGAAGAAGUAUUUCGGUAUGUAAAGCUCUAUCAGCAGGGAAGAAAAAAGACGGUACCUGACUAAGAAGCCCCGGCUAACUACGUGCCAGCAGCCGCGGUAAUACGUAGGGGGCAAGCGUUAUCCGGAAUUACUGGGUGUAAAGGGUGCGUAGGUGGCAUGGUAAGUCAGAAGUGAAAGCCCGGGGCUUAACCCCGGGACUGCUUUUGAAACUGUCAUGCUGGAGUGCAGGAGAGGUAAGCGGAAUUCCUAGUGUAGCGGUGAAAUGCGUAGAUAUUAGGAGGAACACCAGUGGCGAAGGCGGCUUACUGGACUGUCACUGACACUGAUGCACGAAAGCGUGGGGAGCAAACAGGAUUAGAUACCCUGGUAGUCCACGCCGU
rnacentral:rRNA from 1 species